CGGCUGAGUUCAGCUGCCGGAGCUCGGCGCUGCGUCACUCCGAGCUGGAGAAGGGGCUCGGGGCUGCUCUCGGCAGCAUGGAGAAAGGACUGGUUGUUACUCAGCUGGAUGUUGAGCCUGGUGAGUGCAUCAAGGUCAAAGGGAAGAUCCAGUCUGAUGCCAAAGGGUUUGCUGUGAAUGUCGGGAAGGACAGCAACACCCUCAUGCUGCAUUUCAACCCUCGCUUUGACUGUCACGGGGACGUCAACACCAUCGUGUGCAAUUCCAAGGAGGAUGGCAUGUGGGGGGAAGAGGACAGGAAGGCUGACUUUCCCUUCCAGCAUGGUGACAAGAUAGAGAUAUGCAUCUCCUUCGAUGAAACCGAGGCCACGGUGAAGCUGCCUGAGGCGGAGUUCAAGUUCCCAAAUCGUCUGGGCAUGGAGAAAAUCGAAUACCUGGCUGUGGAGGGUGACUUCAAAGUCAAAGCCAUUAAGUUCAGCUAACAGCUAUAGCUUGCCUGCCACUCAUGCUGACCCGAGACAGGGCUGGAGCUGGGACUGCUGUGGCAUUUGAGGACCCGAUGACAAUCACCAAAGGGAGAUCUGUGCUUUCCCACUGUGCCUGCAGCCAGCUGAAGGGGGCUGUCACACCAUCCUUCAACAGUCCAUGACCUACCUGGAGACAGCUCUGGAGAAGGUGCUUGACCCAGGUACCAUAAAGUGACUUGGGAAGGAGUCCCACCCAUUGUUACCUACAAACAGAGGCCACCCAGGCUGGCAAACACCCAUGCUGUCAUCCCUGUGGCAGGGUGGGAUGUAGGGCAUUCCACACCAAUAUCCAAACCAGAUGUUUCUCUUAUAAAAAUAAGGCUCAAUAUUAGCAAAAAUUGCCAGGCUGCUGAGAACUCCUUCCCUGAGAUGUGUUUUGGGGAAGGGGUAGCACAGCAGAUGGUGCUCACUGUAUUUGAGGUACUGGUUUUCUCCACUGCAGCCACUGCAAUACAGUGUCAGUUUUAAAAAUCUCACGUAACCAGACCCAAAAUGCGGAUUUGUGUCAGGAAGUUAGCAAGGACUGGACAGGAAGUGUAAAAUUCUAUCCCUGGUAUUCCUAUCCCAUGUAAUCACUCUGGGAAAUCCUGGGUUUCCACUAUCCUCUAGUUUCAGAGCCACAGGAGAAAAGCAAGGUGGGAUAAAAAGCAAUGAAUACACUCCCCUUUUUGCCAGAGGUAAAAGAAGUAGAUCUUUUUUGCCUGAGAAGUACAUCUUCAGGCUUGCCUGAUGUUUAAUUACCUUUAAAUACAUAUCAAGGUGUACUUCUACCAAACUCAGUAAACUUUGCAGUUAGGAGGGUGAUUUUUGAACAAAACUGUGCAAAGAGAGUUUUUCCUGCACUUACCACAAAAACCGUGGCUUUAACUCAUUUCUCACUUGAAAAUCUAAGCUGUUAUAAAAACAUCAGUGACUAUCACUUGCCUUAUUAGCUGAUGUUUCUGUGUACUGUGGGAACACACACAGGACUUGCUUUAUCCACCCCAAACUUGCUGGAGGUGCUCCCCCUGAAGCCAUGUGGGUUCCUGGAGUAAACAGGCAGAUCCUGUUUGGAUGGAGCCUCUUCCUGACCUGGGCAUAUACGGCAGGACUUGUGUUUUUCAGGAAAGAACUCACUAAAUGGAAAAUAUACAAACACCUCCCAGAUCUACCAUGUCUUCUUGAGUUGUUUUGGUAAGUGUAAGAUGGAAGGGUGGCUGCAAAAGAAAAAAUAAACAAAAAAAAAAAAAUCUGCAUUUAAAGUGGUUUUAAAUCUAAUAAAUCAAACUGCAGCAGUGGGUAGGAUUUUUGCUUUUAGGGCAAAUGAAAUGUGUUGACUGGAUUGAAACAGCUCCCCCCGCUGUUUGCCUGAUACUCUACUCAAAUCUGGGCUUUAUAAAUCAUGUCGGUAGAGAUCCCUGUCACUCCUCAGGGAAAUCUUUCAGGCUGCAGCAGAAACAAAGACCACAGCUAUGAGUAUUCAAAAUAAAGACACAAUUUCCCCCACAUUCCUGCAGUGAAUUCCUUGCUUCAUGCUAGCUUGGACUCUCCUGAGAUACAGGUUGCCAUAGAAGAUGUUUGAACUCCAGACUCAGAGGACCACAGGAUCCAGAAGAGGAAAAAAUUUGUUAUU